rnacentral:rRNA from 1 species
UUAGCCUUUGCCAAUACCACUGAUGGCGACCGGCGGCACGGGUGCGUAACGCGUAUGUAACUUAGCCUUAUGCAGGAGGAAUAACCCGAACGUAAAUUACGGCCUAACUACUCCACUAAGUGUCAGAGAGGCAUCUUUCGGGCAUGAAAGAUUUAUCGGCAUAAGAUAGACAUGCGUGACAUUAGCUAGUCGGUGAGGUAACGGCUCACCGAGGCGACGAUGUCUAGGGGUUCUGAGAGGAAGGUCCCCCACCACUGGUACUGAGACACGGACCAGACUCCUACGGGAGGCAGCAGUGAGGAAUAUUGGUCAAUGGACGGAAGUCUGAACCAGCCAUGCCGCGUGCAGGAUGACGGCUCUAUGAGUUGUAAACUGCUUUUGUACGAGAAUAAUAGUUCUUACGUGUAGGGAUUUGAAUGUAUCGUACGAAUAAGGAUCGGCUAACUCCGUG